AGGAACAACAGUGGUGGCAGCCAGCUCUCCAGCUCUGGACUCAGCUCCGGCAGGAACUAUGGCAGCUCCCCGUCCGCAAGGGCCUGGAUGCUCCAGAGGUGG
rnacentral:pre_miRNA from 1 species